rfam:Schistosoma mansoni strain Puerto Rico chromosome 5, complete genome
AUCCAGCUGACGAGUCCCACAUGGGACGAAACACGCUUCAAACUGGAU